rnacentral:rRNA from 1 species
AUUGAACGCUGGCGGCAGGCCUAACACAUGCAAGUCGAACGAGCGGCGGACGGGUGAGUAAUGUCUGGGAAACUGCCUGAUGGAGGGGGAUAACUACUGGAAACGGUAGCUAAUACAGCAUACCAUCAGAUGUGCCCAGAUGGGAUUAGCUAGUAGGUGGGGUAACGGCUCACCUAGGCGACGAUCCCUAGCUGGUCUGAGAGGAUGACCAGCCACACUUGAACUGAGACACGGUCCAGACUCCUACGGGAGGCAGCAGUGGGGAAGAUUGCACAAUGGGCGCAAGCAUGAUGCAGCCAUGCCGCGUGUGUGAAGGAGGCCUUCGGGUUGUAAAGUACUUUCAGCGGGGAGGCGUUACUCGCAGAAGAAGCACCGGCUAACUCCGUGCCAGCAGCCGCGGUAAUUG